AGCGGCAGGCUUAAUACAUGCAGGUCGUGGGGCAGCAUGAGUGUAGCAAUACAUUUGAUGGCGACCGGCAAACGGGUGCGGAACACGUACACAACCUUCCUUUAAGUGGGGGAUAGCCCAGGGAAACUUGGAUUAAUACCCCGUAAUACUAUGAAGUGGCAUCACUUUAUAUUUAUAGCUCCGGCGCUUAAUGAUGGGUGUGCGGCUGAUUAGGUAGUUGGCGGGGUAACGGCCCACCAAGCCUGCGAUCAGUAACUGGUGUGAGAGCACGACCAGUCACACGGGCACUGAGACACGGGCCCGACUCCUACGGGAGGCAGCAGUAAGGAAUAUUGGUCAAUGGACGCAAGUCUGAACCAGCCAUGCCGCGUGGAGGAUGAAGGUCCUCUGGAUUGUAAACUUCUUUUAUUUGGGAAGAAACCCAUAGUUUCUACUGUGGUUGACGGUACCAGAUGAAUAAGCACCGGCUAACUCCGUGCCAGCAGCCGCGGUAAUACGGA
rnacentral:rRNA from 1 species